rnacentral:rRNA from 1 species
GGGGGGGGAAGAUCAACAGGGAUUGCCCCAGUAACGGCGAGUGAAGCGGCAACAGCUCAAAUUUGAAAUCUGGCCCCCGGGUCCGAGUUGUAAUUUGCAGAGGAUGCUUCGGGCGAGGUGCCUUCCGAGUUCCCUGGAACGGGACGCCACAGAGGGUGAGAGCCCCGUCUGGUCGGACACCGAGCCCGUGUGAAGCUCCUUCGAAGAGUCGAGUAGUUUGGGAAUGCUGCUCAAAAUGGGAGGUAUAUGUCUUCUAAAGCUAAAUAUUGGCCAGAGACCGAUAGCGCACAAGUAGAGUGAUCGAAAGAUGAAAAGCACUUUGAAAAGAGGGUUAAAAAGUACGUGAAAUUGUUGAAAGGGAAGCGCCCAUGACCAGACUUGGGCCCGGUGAAUCACCCGGCGUUCUCGCCGGUGCACUUUGCCGGGCACAGGCCAGCAUCAGUUUGGCGCGGGGGACAAAGGCUUCGGGAACGUGGCUCCCUCGGGAGUGUUAUAGCCCGCUGCGUAAUACCCUGCGCCGGACUGAGGUACGCGCAUCGCAAGGAUGCUGGCGUAAUGGUCAUCAGCGACCCGUCUUGAAACACGGACCAAGGAGUCGUCUUCGUAUGCGAGUGUUCGGGUGUCAAACCCCUACGCGGAAUGAAAGUGAACGCAGGUGAGAGCUUCGGCGCAUCAUCGACCGAUCCUGAUGUUCUCGGAUGGAUUUGAGUAAGAGCAUACGGGGCCGGACCCGAAAGAAGGUGAACUAUGCCUGUAUAGGGUGAAGCCAGAGGAAACUCUGGUGGAAGCUCGCAGCGGUUCUGACGUGCGAAUCGAUCGUCAAAUAUGGGCAUGGGGGCGAAAGACUAAUCGAACCUUCUAGUAGCUGGUUCCGCGU